UACGGAGGAUGCGAGCGUUAUCCGGAUUUAUUGGGUUUAAAGGGUGCGCAGGCGGAGGUGCAAGUCAGCGGUCAAAUUGCGGGGCUCAACCCCGUACUGCCGUUGAAACUGCAUCCCUUGAGUGCGCGAGAAGUAUGCGGAAUGCGUGGUGUAGCGGUGAAAUGCUUAGAGAUCAUACAGAACACCGAUUGCGAAGGCAGCUUACCAAACUAUAUCUGACGUUGAGGCACGAAAGCGUGGGUAGCAAACAGG
rnacentral:rRNA from 1 species